rnacentral:tRNA from 1 species
UGGGGUGUGGCUCAGUGGUGGAGCACUUGCCUAGCAUGCGUGAGGCACUGAGUUCGAUUCUCAGCACCACAU